rnacentral:rRNA from 1 species
ACUCCUACGGGAGGCAGCAGUGGGAAUUUUGGACAAUGGGCGCAAGCCUGAUCCAGCAAUACCGCGUGCAGGAAGAAGGCCUUCGGGUUGUAAACUGCUUUUGUACGGAACGAAAAGGUCUUGGUUAAUACCUGGGGCUCAUGACGGUACCGUAAGAAUAAGCACCGGCUAACUACGUGCCAGCAGCCGCGGUAAUACGUAGGGUGCGAGCGUUAAUCGGAGUUAUUGGGCGUAAAGGGUGCGUAGGUUGUUAUUUAAGUCAUGUGGGAAAUACCUGGGCUCAACCUGGGAAUGACGGAUGAUACUGAAUGACUAGAGUAUAGUAGAGGGUAGUGGAAUUUCCGGUGUAGCGGUGAAAUGCGUAGAGAUCGGAAGGAACACCAGUGGCGAAGGCGGCUACCUGGACUAAUACUGACACUGAGGCACGAAAGCGUGGGUAGCAAACAGGAUUAGAUACCCUGGUAGGU